CCUUGCUAUGGGCGAUUCGGACAAACUCACGACGCUUGCUGCUCACCCAAAAGAUGCAACUUCCAUGGAGGAUGCGAGUGAGAACCAAGCAAAAGAUGGAAAACGAGACCAGAAUAACUUACCACCUUGUUGAAGCACCAGCUCCGCUUGCGAAUAACCGGUCAAUAAAAAUUUCCACUGAUUA